rnacentral:rRNA from 1 species
AUUGUAGCAUACAAGGCAUACGGCUCAGUAACGCGUAGUCAACCUAACCUAUGGACGGGAAUAACCUCGGGAAACUGAGAAUAAUGCCCGAUAGAACACUAUACCUGGAAUGGUUUGUGUUCCAAAUGAUUUAUCGCCAUAGGAUGGGACUGCGGCCUAUCAGUUUGUUGGUGAGGUAAUGGCCCACCAAGACUAUUACAGGUACGGGCUCUGAGAGGAGUAGCCCGGAGAUGGGUACUGAGACACGGACCCAGGCCCUAUGGGGCGCAGCAGGCGAGAAAACUUUGCAAUGUGCGAAAGCACGACAAGGUUAAUCCGAGUGAUUUGUGCUAAACGAAUCUUUUGUUAGUCCUAGAAACACUAACGAAUAAGGGGUGGGCAAGUUCUGGUGUCAGCCGCCGCGGUAAAACCAGCACCUCAAGUGGUCAGGAUGAUUAUUGGGCCUAAAGCAUCCGUAGCCGGCUCUGUAAGUUUUCGGUUAAAUCUGUACGCUUAACGUACAGGCUGCCGGGAAUACUGCAGAGCUAGGGAGUGGGAGAGGUAGACGGUACUCGGUAGGAAGUGGUAAAAUGCUUUGAUCUAUCGAUGACCACCUGUGGCGAACGCGGUCUACCAGAACACGUCCGACGGUGAGGGAUGAAAGCUGGGGGAGCAAACCGGAUUAGAUACCCGGUAGUCCCAGCUGUAACUAUGCAACUCAGUGAUGCAUACUGUGUCCAAUGCAAGUGC